rnacentral:rRNA from 1 species
CGCGUAGGUGGUUCGUCAAGUUGGAUGUGAAAUCCCCGGGCUCAACCUGGGAACUGCAUUCAAAACUGUCGAGCUAGAGUAUGGUAGAGGGUGGUGGAAUUUCCUGUGUAGCGGUGAAAUGCGUAGAUAUAGGAAGGAACACCAGUGGCGAAGGCGACCACCUGGACUGAUACUGACACUGAGGUGCGAAAGCGUGGGGAGCAAACA